UACGGGGGGGGCAAGCGUUGUUCGGAAUUACUGGGCGUAAAGGGUUUGUAGGUGGCUUGUUAAGUCAGACGUGAAAUCCCUCAGCUUAACUGGGGAACUGCGUCUGAGACUGGUGAGCUUGAGUGCAGGAGAGGAACGCGGAAUUCCAGGUGUAGCGGUGAAAUGCGUAGAUAUCUGGAGGAACACCGGUGGCGAAGGCGGCUUCCUGGACCGACACUGACGCUGAGGCGCGAAAGCUAGGGGAGCAAACGGG
rnacentral:rRNA from 1 species